UAGUUGAAAGCAAAGCUGAUUCUAUUUAACCCUAAUUUAAGGAACAACAAUGUAAGAUUUCCUAAUUUAAUCUGUCUGCAGUUCACAAAGUGUGAUGUAAUUACUUAGAUGUGCAGUAAUUACUCAUUGAUUUCAACUUUUGAUUUCUUUCUAUUUGUAGUGUAACCCUGAAAACAAUCUCCUGUCAUUGUAUUGGACCAUGAUACACAGUAUACCACGGGGAUAUAAUGUUUGAUGUUAUCUUUUAGACUUCAUUUGCCUUGCCUUUGACAAUAUUUCAACUUGGAAAAUUAAAAUAAUAUUUGCUAUACAAUACUAGAAAUUGAGGAUCUUGCUUUGCUUUGGGAGUGAUAUGCUAAACAUUUUAUUGAUAUAUAAUAAUGAGCAUUAUAAUAAUAA
rnacentral:lncRNA from 1 species